CUCCACUGUUUCUUUCUCUGAAGCAGGGUCUCAGUCACACAGGCUGAGGUGAGGUGGCAUCACCGUGGCUCACUGCAGCCUUGACCUCCUGGGCUCAAGCAGUCCUCCUACCUCAGCCUCCCGUAGCUGGGACUACAGGCAAGACCUCUACAACCAGCUAAUCUUUUUUUUCUAUAUUUUGUAGAGAUGGGGUCUCAAUAUGUUGCCUAGGCUGGUCUUGAACUCCUGAGCUCAAGUGAUCCUCCUGCCUUGGCCUCCCACCAAGUACUCGGAUUACAGGUGUGAGCCACCAUGACUGGCCCCUCCACUCUUUCUGUACUUCCAAUUGCCUGAUCCCAGGUUCCAGUGAUAUCUGCUGUAUCACUUUCCUUAGUUAGGUGGAAAUAUCACCAAUUAGGAUAGUCAAAAAAGGAAACGGGGAAUGGAGAAAAGGAAGUGAGAAUAAAAUAUAUUUUAACUUUGAAAGCUAUUAAAUUUGAUACGAUCUUGACCUAUCUAUUCAUUGAAGAUUAUGCCUUGCCUUUACUUUUUGAUCUUUGCAGUCUGGAUAAUAAAUACAAAAUGGAAAAUGUCCAAGGUGAUUUAAAAAAUUUCAAGUUCAACCCAAAUGCAGGAUCCCACAGACUCUAAGAACAUGGGUGUAGUUGCUGAAAGAAGGCCCAUGCCUGGUAAAUAAAAACAUUAUUUUGUUAUUAUUAAAGCAUCAACUAAACCAUUAAGAGUCAUGAUUAAUCUAGCAGGAACCCCUCAGACUAGCUCUGAGGGAUGAAACUAACAGCUCAUAGGUCAAAUGUACUAUCUCAGGAUUUUCAUGACACAUACGGGCUUCUUGGGAAGUGACCUGACCCGUAACACAACAGAGUUGAAAUGUUUAACUGGGUUCUCAAUAGUAAUGCCUUAGUAACCAAAAUUCCCAAACAACUAAAACAAACAUUCUGCUUAUGCUCCAGCCAAUGAUUACUUCUCCAAGCCUCACCUCCUGGAAAUGUUUGAGGAUAUCAUUGAUGAUGAACUCCUUGGUCUCAUAGGGAUGUACCCGAGUGAAUGGAUCUAGAUUAAUCACAGCGUCUUCAAACCGUAUCAAAGGAAACCCCAAGGUGCUUUUUAGGGCCUAAUUAGGGAAGAAAGGAAAUGACAUACUUAAGUCAUAUGAUGGCCUUCUGUGAUACUAUAAUUCUAGAUUCCAUUAAAGCUACAAGUCAUGUUAACUUUCGAAUGAGGGUCAGGUUUUGAUGUUUAUAAAUAAGGAUUUUCCCUAUAACUAUAAAAGUAAAAUACUAGGGAAAAAUACAUAUAUAGACAGACAUAUAUCACCCAAGUCACAUGUAUCACACAGAAAUAAACACUAUCAGUUUGUGUCAUAAUUCCUUUUAGUCUGUUUUGUAUCUGUUUGUCAUGUUUUACUUUUUGACUGAUGUAAACCACACACACAGAAAAGUAUACUAAUCAAAUGUAUAGUUCAAAACCCAAAUGAUUUUUCCCAAAGUGAACACAAUAAUGUAACCACCACCAGAUCAGAAAGCAGACUGUUAUCCCCAUCUUGGAAGCAGCCCACUCACCAUGAGCAUGCUCCCACUCCCUCCUCCUUCCUCCCCAAAGACAACCACAGUGAUGACAUCUAUCACUACAGGGUUACCUUAGCUGCUCUUUGCGCUUUUCAACUGCAGAGAAAUUUUAGAAUCAGCUUGUCAAUUUGCUUCCAAAAAAACUGCUGGAAUUUUCAUCAGGACUGUACUGAAUCUACAGAUCAAUUUGAGGAGCAACGACAACUUUACCGAAUCUUCCAACUUAUCGACAUGCCAAUAGGAUGCGAGAGAUAUAAUAAUGUGUGACCUUUGAGCCUGAGCCUCAAGAGAGCUUGGAGCUUCUGCACUGCCUGUUUUGAUGCUUCCACCACGUGAAGAAGCUGGGAGUAGCUUCCUUGAAGAUGGGAGACCAUGUGGAAAGGGGUUCUGCUGACAGCCAGCACCAAUCCGCUGGACAUGAGACUGAGGUCAUCUCAUACCAUUUAAUCGCGUUUAACUGCCAGCUCCUAUGCCUUUUACUUCUUUUUCAAAAAGAUCAUCCUUGACUUAUUUUACUGGCUGAACUCCCGUGUAACGGUGAAAGAAGUGGUGAUAAUGGGUAUCUUUCCUUUAUCUCAAGAAAAAGCUUUUACUAUCUCACCAAUUAGUAUGAUGUUUGUUGUAGCUUUUUACCAGAUAGACCUAAACAGAUGAAAGCAGUUAUCUUCUAUUUUUAGCUUGCUGAAUUUUUACUGUAGAUGGAUGUUAAAGUUUGUCAAACAGCUUUUAUGCAUUUUUAAAUAAUCAUAUUCUAUUUUAUCGUGUUGAUGUGGUAAAAUACCAAAUUUAUCUGCAAAUGUGAAACUGAAUGUGCAUUCCAGGAAAAAAUCCAAUUUGGUUAUAUUAGCCUUCUUACAUAUUUCUGUUUUUGAUUUACUAAUAUUUUGUUCAGAUUUCUUUCUUCUAUAUUCAUGAAAAAGUGCUGGUCUAUAAUUUUCCCUUAUUAUUUGAUAAUUUUUUUAAAAAAAUUAUAGUUUUCUGGUAAACUUCUUAGAUACCUUCAUAGUAUUUUAAAUUCUCUGUCUAAAAAUACCAACAUCCAGUUUAUCUAUGGUUCUGUUUCUAGUGUUUGUUUUUUCUCUUGGUCUCAUCUCAUCUUGGCCUGGUAAUUUGUGACUGAAUGCAACAUUUUGUAUGAAAACUUACAGAGACUUUGGAUGAGUUUUUAGCUUCUGGUAGGCAGUUAGAGUAAGAAGCAUAAUGCCUAAAUCAACCAGGGUUUGGGUUUUCUCAAGGCUGUGUUUCAGUCUUUAUCUAAGUUCUGGUGUGUUUUAGUCCUUAUGAGGCCUGGUGUAGUCCUUUAGCAGUCUCAACGAAAACCAAUGCCAUUCCUCCACUUUUAAUCUCCCUAGUACCACAAAACUGCUUAGAAGACUGUUUAAGUUCUUCAGCCUCUUAGCUGCCACUUUUUGCUUGAUUUCUCUCAGACUGUGUCACUUAGAAAUCAUCAAAUAUCUCAAGAAAGAAAGUACCUCAGAUUAUUGGGGUUUGUUUUCUGCCUGUCCCUUCUCUGUAAGAUAUUAGCCCUUCAAUUACCAGCUCUCUUAGUAGCAAUGAAGUCUAAGUUUUGCUUUGCUAGCCCCAUGAGACUGCCAAAAGCUUUACUUGCAUUCUCUGCCUGUUGGCAGCUGCUUUCUGCUUGGCUUCUUCACCUUUCUCCCCACACUGCUUACAAAUCAGAAAAAGUCUCAAGAAUAAAAGCAAAAUAAAUGUUGGGCUCACCUUACUGAGUUUCUCUCCUCUCAUAAAUCUUGAACUCUCCAGUCCUGGCUGUUUUGGUAGCUUUCCAAUGGCUUCACAUGGACACUCCCCAACCCCGCCCCCACGAUCUGUCUUUUCUUGAAGUUCUCAACUAGCCUGGGUCUGCUAUAAGCUGGUUAACAAUCUCUGGAUAUGGGUCUAUUUUCUGAUUAUAUCUUUAUUUAAAAUGAUUGAUAUUUCAAGGUGUUUACAAGGCAUGCCAAAUACUCUUCCUUACCGAAUAUAAAAACACUUUUUCAUGCUAAUAUUACC
rnacentral:lncRNA from 10 species